UUUAGUUUUUAGUACAUCAAGUUUAGUUAAACUGAGAAAUAUUGUCUUGGCAACUAACUGAAAUAAAAUAAGUGAGAUUUUUUAGAAUAUAUUUUAUUAUCUUUCAAUUAAAGUUUUUUUAUUAUUAUUAUUUCAAAUAUGCCUAACAACAAUAUUUAAGGUUUUAAUUUUAUUUAACUAUAAUAAUCCUGAUGAUCUGUAUGAAUGGAAACAAUGUUUUCAGUGUUUUUAUUACAUUUUUUUUAGUUUAUAAAGCUUUUGUGGUCACUGAUGCCUUAUUCUGAAGGCUAAAAUGAACUACUAACCCUAAAAAGCACUAAAUGCACCAAACAGAAUGUUAUAAAUAAUUGUUUCCAAACAGGUUUCCUUGACAAGAGACAGCGUUUAUGCAUCCAGAAAAGCCGCUCUUGAUCUGGGAUCAUCUAGAGACUGAUGGUGUCGCUUCUUUUGACACCAGAAAUGGCGUCUGAAGCGCGCUUAGAAGUGCUUCUGGCUCUCAGCGCGGCCGCUCCGGAUCCAGGUGUGAACGCUGUCUCUGGUUUGGCAGAUUCCCCCUCAGUCGCCCUGUUUGGAUCAGAACUCAGAGAGGAAAGAUGCAUCAAACGCACCGUGAAAUCCACAGGUGUGCGGCUGCGGAGAGUGAGAGAGAGAUGGAGAGAAGAAAGGAGAGCGAGAGAGAGUGUUAUUCAUCCCCAGGGGGCACUGUUAGCCCUCCACUUCAACAUCCAACAUCAACAACCUGCACCAUGUGGCCCCAAACACACACACACACACACACACACACACAUACACACAC
ensembl:lncRNA